CUGUUUCACAUACAUCCCGUUCGUGAGUUCCUCCCAGAACAGCCGUGAUCCAAUCCCUUCCGCGUUCGGAUCAAGCAACCAGUUCUUCUCCCCUGUUCCACGUCACCUCCCAGCUUCCUCAACCUCAUCCUGGAUUUUUCCAGCCAUCCGGUGUGUCCUAACUUCCGAAUCCAACUCCUCCACGUCCUUCCCGAGCUCAUCCUCCCAAGGAGUAGAGUCAUCAUCCCAUCCAGAUUCAUCCCAGCAUCAACCUCCCGAGUCAACCCCAACGGUUUUCUCCUUAUCCUCAUGCGAUUCACCAUCCCCCGUGUCCACCGAAUUUCCCAGCUCAUGGUUCAUCAUCUUCUUCCCAACGAUAGGAUCAGCUUCAUCCACAAGCAAAUCUUCCGGCAUCCCAGAUCUCCCAGCUCUCAUCUCGUCCGUGAUCCACCUUCAUCCCAAUCCGGAUUUCUUCUCAACCACAUCAAGCUAACAACAACAUCCUCAUCCUCUUCUCCGAAUAACAUCCAAGAUUUAUCCUAGCUCCCCUGUUCCGAGCUAAAAGAAAUCAAACAUUCAAACCCAGCCGGUGAGCAUCUCUUCCUUAUCCAAAAUCCCCUGCAUUCUAGAGUUCAUCUUCUCCAAAAAUCAAGUAUCCUAUGAGCUAUAUCCUCCCAUUUGGAUUUAUUCCAUCGACCACGGAAGAAUCCCCUGUUCCGCGUGUCUUUCCUCCCUUCUGAAUCCAAGGAACAGAGUCUCCCCAUGCAUCAAGUCCCUUUUAUUCCGUGGUUCAUCUUCAUCCUCUCGCUCCCGCGUCUUCCGAGUUCCCUAGCCGUGAGCAUGUCCGUUACUUCUUCAACUUCCCUUCACGAAAGCAAAACAGAGCAAUUUCCUUUCCUCCCGCAUCCACAAAUCUCGUCUUCUGCAGCAAUGCGAUCAAGUUUAUCUUCCCAAAUUUCACGGAAGCAUCCCUUCCACGCGGACUCAGCUCUUCGUCCGGCAGCCACACGCGAUUCACUUCAAACCGCGAAGGAUUCUGCGCAUCCCAGCAAUCUCCUCCUCCCAGCCGGAUUAAAGUUUAUCCCGUGAUCCUCUUCUUCCGAAUUCGUUUCAUUCCGCGACCCAUCCCGCUGCCAGCCAUGAUAGCAACUCGAACAAAUCUCAGCCAAGUCCCAGCAUUUCGGAUCAACUCCCCUAUUCAGCCUCCAUCCUUAUCCCAUCGUCAAAGGAUCACAGAGCAUCUGCCUUAUCCCGCAGCCAUCGAUCCUUAUCCUGCACUCGGAAGGAGAAGCUAGGGGGAGUUGGUAGCCGUUGAUCCAUCUUUAUCUCGACUUGGAUAGAGGAGCGAGAGGGAGUUGCAGCCUACAAAAGGCCCAGCGUGAACCGAGAAGAUAAUUCCUCCUUUUCCCAUCGGGAGAAGAAGAAGCAUCUCUUCUCAGGUGACUUCCCACAAAGUGCAGGAGGGAGAGAAUACUUUGGGUAUUUUUUGGGAAUGACUUCUCAAAAGAAAAAAAUAAUGAAUUGCUAGAUAAGGGAGAAGAGACCCAGGGAAGGGAGGGAGAAAAGAAGAAAUGGGAGCCCGCUGCUGUGCCAUUGCUGCUGUCGCCCAUGACUCUAUGGAAGGCUGAUCUCCUCUCUAGGGCCGGAUGCAGCCCUAACAAAGGGCCAAGGAUUUUGUAUUUUUGAUUUCUAUUAUUGGAGUUGUAUAAACUUUAUUUUGCUCCUAAUGAAUAUUUUAUUUCAUCUCA
rnacentral:lncRNA from 1 species